UGGACAAAUUAUUGUAUUCGACUGUAUCCACGGCGUAAAAUAGAGGAUUACACUGUUGUUAAAACGGAAAGUGAAUCAAUUAACAUAAUAGACUCCU
rfam:Nicotiana sylvestris Nsyl_contig210756, whole genome shotgun sequence.